AAUAUACUCCCUUCGUCCGGAAAUACUUGUCCUAGAAAUGGAUAAAAUUGAUGUAUCUACAACUAAAAUAAGUCUAGAUACAACCAUCUGGAGGACAAGUAUUUCCGGACAGAGGAAGUAUAAU
rfam:Triticum aestivum genome assembly, contig: Triticum_aestivum_CS42_TGACv1_scaffold_095309_2AL